rnacentral:rRNA from 1 species
UACGUAGGGGGCAAGCGUUGUCCGGAAUUAUUGGGCGUAAAGAGCGUGUAGGCGGUCCGGUAAGUCGGCUGUGAAAGUCCAGGGCUCAACCCUGGGAUGCCGGUCGAUACUGCCGUGACUCGAGUCCGGUAGGGGAGUGUGGAAUUCCCGGUGUAGCGGUGAAAUGCGCAGAUAUCGGGAGGAACACCAGUAGCGAAGGCGGCACUCUGGGCCGUGACUGACGCUGAGGAGCGAAAGCGUGGGUAGCAAACAGG